UUAUUGCAAGUAUUUUGCCAACUUUGGAAUUUGUAGAUCUAUUUCUUUGGUUCAUCAUAAUACCGAUAUUUUUUGAAGCAACGACAAAGAUUCAUAUCCCUUUGGAUUCGAAGUCGUAGAUUCAUAUACUGAUAUUUGUACGCCAUUUUUGUUAAAUCUGGAGUAACUGCAAAGAUUAUGUUUGGAAAUAUUUUCGAGUAAUAAUUAAUAAAUGUGUUUCCUUGAUUAAAUAGAUAUAGAUUUGAGAAUUUGGAAAAUUUAGGAUUUCUUAGAUUUCAGUACUUUAAACAGCCGCUAAUUGUGUUCCCUGGAAUAGGAAACGUAUAUAUGGAUCUAUCGUGGAGGUUCAUCCUGCGGCCGGAAUCAUCCGGAUGGGGUUUUCAAAUGGACGGCCAGGAAUUUACCAUGAAUGCCUUUCAUGGAAACACGGCCAAACUUAUUAAGCCCAAGAGUUCGAACCAGUGCCAAACUCUUUUUCUUUUUUGGACAGGGAAGACGGAGCAUCUCCUACCCUAACAGCGGAAGAAGAUUAGAAGAAUAUAAGAAAAGAGAUAAAACUUGGUUAGUAAACACGAAUUCCAGACUACAGACUCUCCGGGGUUCUAUGGAGAACAAAAUCUUAUGCAGGCAAACCCGCUUGAAUGUUCAUAGCUGAUUUUCGUUCAUUAAGCUUCCCCUGUAUCAUGUACGCGCCAUCAACUUUGUGUUGUAGUCUCUUGAUUCUUUCAGUGUGUUAAAAGGGUAGAAAUGUAUGUAUUAUAACCUUUAUUUGUCAUAACGGUACGGCCUUCUACUGCAUAUCCAUACGUGUACAGUGCAGAAAGUCAGCAGAAAUAGUGCAGAGUCAGGCUAUUAUUACAGGCAGAUACAUGUAAAUCCAUAUAUCUCCAAGUUCAUUGCCAGCUGAUUAAUUCUAUUUUUUGGAAUCAGUACUUUAUUUUGUAUUUUUUUAGUGGUGGUUUAAAAAAAUUAAAGCUCACAAGGAUUCUAUGGAGGACACUAUCUGAUGCAGACAAACCCGCUGGAAUCUUUGUAGCCGCUAAUUAAACUCAACAGGAGAGGCCGGAUGUGUCCGUCGAUAGGAUGGAUCAGUUUCUUAUCAUAUCUUCUCCUCUCUGGGCACGAAGGUACAGUCAGAACACCUACGGAACUCUGGGCCUCUUCUCAUGAUGAGCUUGCCGCCGUCAGAUCCUGUUAAUGGAAUAUUUAAUUCAUAAGAGUAAUUUGGAACUGAUAAAUUCUAUAUAAUUGGCAUUUUAAUAAAAUGGCAACAAACUAACAAUCUAUUAGCAUCUGGAUACCGAUUUUUAGUGUACUAAAAAGAAAAAGUACAUAAAUGUUGAGGAAUUUGGGAAUGAGAAUGGGAAGGGACUGGAACUGAAGAGAGUUGGCCCAAACUAAGGGCAUCAAUGUCUGAUUUUUCCUACGAUUCUAUCUUCGUGAUUGUGUUGCUGUUGAUUCAAUAUAAUAUCGUUAGAAUUCAAUUU